UAAUACGAACUGUGCAAACGUUAUUCGGAAUCACUGGGCUUACAGGGUGCGUAGGUGGUCAGAAAAGUCAGGUGUGAAAUCCCCCAGCUCAACUGGGGAAUGGCGCUUGAAACUCUCUGACUGGAGUGAGCUAGGGGUACUUGGAACUGCCAGUGGAGCGGUGAAAUGUGUUGAUAUUGGCAGGAACACCGGAGCCGAAAGGGAAGUACUGGGGCUUAACUGACACUGAGGCACGAAAGCCAGGGGAGCAAACGGGAUUAGAUACCCCGGUAGUCCUGGCCGUAAACUAUGAGAACUGGGCGGGGGAGGAUUCGUCCAUCCCGGCCGUAGCGAAAGCGUUAAGUUCUCCGCCUGGGGAGUAUGGUCGCAAGGCUG
rnacentral:rRNA from 1 species